rnacentral:rRNA from 1 species
GACGAACGCUGGCGGCGUGCUUAACACAUGCAAGUCGAACGGAAAGGCCCUGCUUUUGUGGGCUCCUCGAUUGGCGAACGGGUGAGUAACACGUGAGUAACCUGCCCUUGACUUUGGGAUAACUUCUGGAAACUGGGGCUAAUACCGGAUAGGAGCUCCUGCUGCAUGGUGGGGGUUGGAAAGUUUCGGCGGUUGGGGUUGGACUCGCGGCUUAUCAGCUUGUUGGUGGGGUAGUGGCUUACCAAGGCUUUGACGGGUAGCCGGCCUGAGAGGGUGACCGGCCACGUUAGGACUGAGAUACGGCACAGACUCGUACGGGAGGCAGCGGUGGGGAAUAUUGCACAAGGGGCGGAAGGCUGGUGCAGUAACGCCGCGUGGGGGAUGACGGCCUUCGGGUUGUAAACCGCUGUCGCCUGUGACGAAGCGUGAGUGACGGUAAUGGGUAAAGAAGCACCGGCUAACUACGUG